rnacentral:rRNA from 1 species
UGGGGAAUAUUGCACAAUGGGCGCAAGCCUGAUGCAGCCAUGCCGCGUGUAUGAAGAAGGCCUUCGGGUUGUAAAGUACUUUCAGCGAGGAGGAAGGCGGUAAGGUUAAUAACCUUAUCGAUUGACGUUACUCGCAGAAGAAGCACCGGCUAACUCCGUGCCAGCAGCCGCGGUAAUACGGAGGGUGCAAGCGUUAAUCGGAAUUACUGGGCGUAAAGCGCACGCAGGCGGUCUGUCAAGUCGGAUGUGAAAUCCCCGGGCUCAACCUGGGAACUGCAUUCGAAACUGGCAGGCUAGAGUCUUGUAGAGGGGGGUAGAAUUCCAGGUGUAGCGGUGAAAUGCGUAGAGAUCUGGAGGAAUACCGGUGGCGAAGGCGGCCCCCUGGACAAAGACUGACGCUCAGGUGCGAAAGCGUGGGGAGCGAACA